rnacentral:rRNA from 1 species
AUUGAACGCUGGCGGCAGGCCUAACACAUGCAAGUCGAGCGGAUGAAGGGAGCUUGCUCCUGGAUUCAGCGGCGGACGGGUGAGUAAUGCCUAGGAAUCUGCCUGGUAGUGGGGGAUAACGUCCGGAAACGGGCGCUAAUACCGCAUACGUCCUGAGGGAGAAAGUGGGGGAUCUUCGGACCUCACGCUAUCAGAUGAGCCUAGGUCGGAUUAGCUAGUUGGUGGGGUAAAGGCCUACCAAGGCGACGAUCCGUAACUGGUCUGAGAGGAUGAUCAGUCACACUGGAACUGGGACACGGUCCAGACUCCUACGGGAGGCAGCAGUGGGGAAUAUUGGACAAUGGGCGAAAGCCUGAUCCAGCCAGGCCGCGUGUGUGAAGAAGGUCUUCGGAUUGUAAAGCACUUUAAGUUGGGAGGAGGGGCAGUAAGUUAAUACCUUGCUGUUUUGACGUUACCAACAGAAUAAGCACCGGCUAACUUCGUG